rnacentral:snRNA from 1 species
AGAUGUGGGGGCGAUCCGGCUGAGACAUCUGUCACCCCGUUGAUUGCCAGGGUUGAUUCGGCUGAUCUGGCUGGCUAGGCGGGUGUCCCCUUCCUCUUCACUGCUCCAUGUGCAUCCCUCCCAAAGUUGUGUGCUUGGUCAGAGAGAACGACCUUCCCCCAUAGAAGAGGAUGAUUCCUGGGUCAAGAAUAUAAGAGUAGCCAUACCCACUACUGGAACCUCCAAACAAGCUCUCAGGGUCCAUUUGUAGGAGAACAUAGAGUGGUCAAGCUUCCAAGACUCCAGACACAUCCAAAUGAGGCACUGCUUGUGGCAGUCUGCCUUUCUGU